CGCACUCUUCGGAGUGAGCGGCGGACGGGUGAGUAACGCGUGGGAACGUGCCCUUCUCUACGGAAUAGCCAUUGGAAACGAUGAGUAAUACCGUAUACGCCCUUAGGGGGAAAGAUUUAUCGGAGAAGGAUCGGCCCGCGUUAGAUUAGGUAGUUGGUGGGGUAAUGGCCUACCAAGCCUACGAUCUAUAGCUGGUUUUAGAGGAUGAUCAGCCACACUGGGACUGAGACACGGCCCAGACUCCUACGGGAGGCAGCAGUGGGGAAUCUUGGACAAUGGGGGAAACCCUGAUCUAGCCAUGCCGCGUGAGUGAAGAAGGCCUUAGGGUCGUAAAGCUCUUUCGCCUGUGAUGAUAAUGACAGUAGCAGGUAAAGAAACCCCGGCUAACUCCGUGCCAGCAGCCGCGGUAAUACGGAGGGGGUUAGCGUUGUUCGGAAUUACUGGGCGUAAAGCGCGCGUAGGCGGAUCGGAAAGUUGGGGGUGAAAUCCCGGGGCUCAACCCCGGAACUGCCUCCAAAACUAUCGGUCUAGAGUUCGAGAGAGGUGAGUGGAAUUCCGAGUGUAGAGGUGGAAUUCGUAGAUAUUCGGAAGAACACCAGUGGCGAAGGCGGCUCACUGGCUCGAUACUGACGCUGAGGUGCGAAAGUGUGGGGAGCAAACAGGAUUAGAUACCCUGGUAGUCCACACCGUAAACGAUGAAUGCCAGUCGUCGGGUAGUAUACUAUUCGGUGACACACCUAACGGAUUAAGCAUUCCGCCUGGGGAGUACGGUCGCAAGAUUAAAACUCAAAGG
rnacentral:rRNA from 1 species